rnacentral:tRNA from 1 species
GACUCAAUAGCUCAGUUGGUAGAGCACAACACUUUUAAUGUUGGGGCCCUGGGUUCGAGUCCCAGUUGGGUCA